GACGAACGCUGGCGGCGUGCUUAACACAUGCAAGUCGAACGAUGAAGCCGGAGCUUGCUCUGGUGAAUUAGUGGCGAACGGGUGAGUAACACGUGAGUAACCUGCCCUUGACUCUGGGAUAACUGCUAGAAAUGGUAGCUAAUACCGGAUACGACCCUCGGAGGCAUCUUCAGGGGGUGGAAAGAAUUUCGGUCAAGGAUGGACUCGCGGCCUAUCAGCUAGUUGGUGAGGUAAUGGCUCACCAAGGCGACGACGGGUAGCCGGCCUGAGAGGGUGACCGGCCACACUGGGACUGAGACACGGCCCAGACUCCUACGGGAGGCAGCAGUGGGGAAUAUUGCACAAUGGGCGCAAGCCUGAUGCAGCAACGCCGCGUGAGGGAUGACGGCCUUCGGGUUGUAAACCUCUUUUAGUAGGGAAGAAGCGAAAGUGACGGUACCUGCAGAAAAAGCACCGGCUAACUACGUGCCAGCAGCCGCGGUAAGAC
rnacentral:rRNA from 1 species